AUGGGGAUACUACUGGUUUCCGGGAGAUUCUUGGCUCGACGGCCUGCCCUCGCGCUCGCCCCUCGCUGCUCCCGAGGCUCCCCGGACAAGCGCGGCAGGGACGAAGUUAUGCCUGAUUUCUCUGAUCAAGUCAUUUAUGCUUCAUCAUCAGUCUUUGCCACGGCACAGCUUUCCUUCACCGUACUAGGUGACUCAUCGUCAACCGACUGGGAUAAGGCUUGGUCUACCUUUAAGAAGAAAGGGAAGAAGACCCUAUUCUCGGAGUUCUCACCGAACAAAUAUGUGACCUGGAACCCACGGCGCAGUGAGUAUCCAUUGUCAGAAGAAGUCGAUCCAAUCAAAAGAGCUGAGAGGUCUAACUUGAUGUUGUGGACAAGCCCAAGGUUUACCUUGGUAGGGGCUAUUAUCAUCAUUUCGGCAUUGCUAAUCUAUACAUUGGUUGUCCCACCCAAGUAA
rnacentral:rRNA from 1 species